GCCCUUUCAUUUACUUGUCAUGUUCCUCUGCUGGAGCCCAAAACAAGAUAGAAAGAAUGGCUAAUGAUAAGGUGGAGGAAAAAAAGGAGUUAGAAUGGGCCUUGAUACCCCCAGGAGAAGUUUCCCAAGUAGAUGGGAUUGUUCUAGAGAAGAAUCUAUGCAACAGUUGGGAUAAAGUCUGGAAUUUUGAAGCCAAGCCUGAUGACCUGCUCAUUGCUUCCUAUCCCAAAGCAGGAACUACUUGGACACAGGAAAUUGUAGAUUUGAUACAGAACAAUGGAGACAUUGAGAAGAGCAGACAGGCUCCCAUUUAUCUUCGACAACCUUUCUUGGAGUGGAUAAGAAUAAUAAACUCUGGAAUUGACCAGGCUAAUGCAAUGCCUUCCCCGAGGACACUGAAAACUCAUCUUCCUGUACAACUAUUACCUCCAUCCUUCUGGGAGAAAAACUGUAAGAUAAUUUAUGUGGCAAGGAAUGUCAAGGACAACAUGGUGUCCUACUACUAUUUUCAAAAGAUGAACAAAGCACUCCCAGACCCAGGAAGCUGGGAUCAGUACUUUGAAACAUUCCUGUCAGGCAAAGUGGUAUGGGGUUCCUGGUUUGAUCACGUGAAAGGCUGGUGGAAGAAGAAAGAGAGUCACCCCAUUCUCUAUCUCUUCUAUGAAGAAAUGAUGAAAGAUCCAAAACGUGAAAUUAGGAAAGUUAUGAAAUUCCUGGGGAAGGACCUAAAAGAAGAGGUUUUAGACAAAAUUGUCUAUAACACUUCAUUUGAUGUAAUGAAAAGGAACCCCAUGACCAACUACAUAAAUGAUGUUCAAAUGAAUCAUCGUCUUUCUCCAUUCAUGAGAAAAGCCUAAAAAACUCCCUUAGUAGUUCUUGUAUGGAAAGUCUAGUAGUUACUGACUCUGUCAGCUCCUGUUUGCCUGGGAAAGUCUCUCCUUCACUUCUGAAGGACAGUUUUGCAGGAGUCAUUGGAGAUUGGAAAAAUCACUUCACUGAAGCUCAGAACAAACAAUUUAAUGAAAUCUAUGAGAAAAAUAUGGCUGACACCUCUCUGUCAUUCUGCAUGUAGCUCUAGAAAUCAGAGCAUGGAAAUAAAACCUAUUCCUCGCCAGCCUGUGUGAAGUAGAAGAGAAUUGUUUCCAAAUACUACUAAUGGUUUGCAUGACCUUAUGUAAGGGUUUUAAGCAAUGAAUUGGCAUUCUUAUUC